GCCUCGUGGAGCUUUUGGUGUUUUCGCUCAACAAACACACCCAACGCCCGGUCUGGGAAUUGAAACAGCAAUCCUUCAACCGCUAGUCUGCUGCCCUAACCACUGGGCCAUUGCGCCUCUACUCUUGUGUUACUAUAUUCGUUAAAACACACUGAUAAUUGUUUUAAUUAAUUUUGAAAAUAACCAAGAGUUUAGUAAAAUAAUUUUUCCAUAAUUAAACUGGCAUAAAUUAACUUUAAAUCUUGAUGAAAGAUUUUAAUUUAGAUUCCUUUAAAACGAGAAAUUUGUAUCAAUAGACCCAGGGGCAGUUUCAAUAGGAUUGGUAUCAAAAGUGUUUGUUAGCCAUUUGUUAUUUUUUUCUUCCUGGAAAACAAACUUCAAAGGAAAACUUCAAACAAGACAAUGUCCAGUGCUUGUCCCUUCUGCCGGUGUGUCUGUUAUUGUCCAAGCCUUGCUACAAUUGACCAAAGCUGCUUCAGUACUAAAACAAGCUUAAAAAAAGUAGCAUUUUGAUAUGAACCCUACUGGAGCAAUUCCCAAAUGAUGUGACGUCUACAGACUGCUAACCCAAGUUAAUUGGCGCCGUUGUCACCCAAAAGCAUUUCUACUGUACCGCCUGCCAUGCUGCAUCCAAGAUAAGAGUCCAGCAAAUAAUUAACGAGUUCUCUCCGACAUUGUCCAGUUUCCUCGUUAGCUUGUUUCCAACAUCUUUGGACAUUGAGUUGUUGACCGAAGCCAAUUCAGAACUCAUCAGUAGAAGGCAAUAAGACAAUCUUCUGGAAGAACCUGGACAAAUGUCUACAUCAAGAGGAGAUCAAACUGUGAAGUAACUUAUUGAUUUGUGAAACACUAACGAGAGGUCAAAGACUUCGUUAACUAAUGACACCCACACACAACCCACAGGGGGCUGCCUUCUGCAAGACCAGUAGGGGUCACUAACCUUUUUAUCACAGGGACUGUCUACUGCAACGUAAACACACACACACACACACCACAUACAGAACAAGACACUACUAAAACACUGCUAAAACACUGCAACAGCACUACCACAACACUUCUAUAACACUACUACAAUGCACUCCACAGUGCACUACAACAGACCAUAAGACACAACUAUGACACCACUACAAUACCUCAGAACACUGCUACCACCUUACUAGAACAGUACUACAACACUGCUAUCACACCACCAGAACACUACUACAACACUAGCAGAAUACUGUUUAAACACUGCUAACACACCACAAGAACACUGCUAUGAUACUACUAGAACAAUGCUACAGCACCAACACAAUACUUCUAUAACACUUUUACAACACUGCUGCACCACUACCAGAACACUGCUACAAUCUUAUCAAAACAGUACUACAACAAAAUUACCACACCGUCACUACACUGCUAACACACCACCAGAACACUAGUACAACACUGCUAUAACUCCGCUAGAACACUUCUACAACACUGCUACCAUGCCACCAGAACACUGCUACAACAAUGCUGAUAUACCACCAGAACACUACUUACAACACCA